ensembl:misc_RNA Metazoa_SRP Metazoan signal recognition particle RNA
GCUAGAUGUGGUGGCGCACACCUGUAGUCCCAGCUGCCCGGGAGGCUGAGGUGGGGGAAUCUCUUGAGCGCAGGAGUUUGAGGAUGCAGUGAGCUAUGGUAAGUGUGCCUGUGAAAAGUCACUGAGCUCCAGCCUGGGCCACAUAGUGAGACUCCAUCUCAA